AUAGCGGCGCUUAUAAGCGCCACUAAAAUAAUUUGCGGCAUUUUU
rfam:Gossypium arboreum cultivar AKA8401 contig_41338_3, whole genome shotgun sequence.